GGGUUGUGAGGUUAAGCGACUAAGCGUACACGGUGGAUGCCCUGGCAGUCAGAGGCGAUGAAGGACGUGCUAAUCUGCGAAAAGCGUCGGUAAGGUGAUAUGAACCGUUAUAGCCGGCGAUGUCCGAAUGGGGAAACCCAGUGCAAUUCGUUGCACUAUCGUUAACUGAAUACAUAGGUUAACGAGGCGAACCGGGGGAACUGAAACAUCUAAGUACCCCGAGGAAAAGAAAUCAACCGAGAUUCCCCCAGUAGCGGCGAGCGAACGGGGAGCAGCCCAGAGUCUGAAUCAGCUUGUGUGUUAGUGGAACGGUCUGGAAAGUCCGACGGUACAGGGUGAUAGUCCCGUACACCAAAAUGCACAGGUUGUGAACUCGAAGAGUAGGGCGGGACACGUGGUAUCCUGUCUGAAUAUGGGGGGACCAUCCUCCAAGGCUAAAUACUCCUGACUGACCGAUAGUGAACCAGUACCGUGAGGGAAAGGCGAAAAGAACCCCGGCGAGGGGAGUGAAAAAAGAACCUGAAACCGUGUACGUACAAGCAGUGGGAGCACCUUCGGGUGUGACUGCGUACCUUUUGUAUAAUGGGUCAGCGACUUAUAUUCUGUAGCAAGGUUAACCGUAUAGGGGAGCCGCAGGGAAACCGAGUCUUAACUGGGCGUUAAGUUGCAGGGUAUAGACCCGAAACCCGGUGAUCUAGCCAUGGGCAGGUUGAAGGUUGGGUAACACUAACUGGAGGACCGAACCGACUAAUGUUGAAAAAUUAGCGGAUGACUUGUGGCUGGGGGUGAAAGGCCAAUCAAACCGGGAGAUAGCUGGUUCUCCCCGAAAGCUAUUUAGGUAGCGCCUCGUGAACUCAUCUUCGGGGGUAGAGCACUGUUUCGGCUAGGGGGUCAUCCCGACUUACCAACCCGAUGCAAACUACGAAUACCGAAGAAUGUUAUCACGGGAGACACACGGCGGGUGCUAACGUCCGUCGUGAAGAGGGAAACAACCCAGACCGCCAGCUAAGGUCCCAAAGUCAUGGUUAAGUGGGAAACGAUGUGGGAAGGCACAGACAGCCGGGAUGUUGGCUUAGAAGCAGCCAUCAUUUAAAGAAAGCGUAAUAGCUCACUGGUCGAGUCGGCCUGCGCGGAAGAUGUAACGGGGCUAAACCAUGCACCGAAGCUGCGGCAGCGACACUAUGUGUUGUUGGGUAGGGGAGCGUUCUGUAAGCCUGCGAAGGUGACCUGUGAGGGUUGCUGGAGGUAUCAGAAGUGCGAAUGCUGACAUAAGUAACGAUAAAGCGGGUGAAAAGCCCGCUCGCCGGAAGACCAAGGGUUCCUGUCCAACGUUAAUCGGGGCAGGGUGAGUCGACCCCUAAGGCGAGGCCGAAAGGCGUAGUCGAUGGGAAACAGGUUAAUAUUCCUGUACUUGGUGUUACUGCGAAGGGGGAACGGAGAAGGCUAUGUUAGCCGGGCGACGGUUGUCCCGGUUUAAGCAUGUAGGCUGGUUGUCCAGGCAAAUCCGGAUAAUCAAGGCUGAGGUGUGAUGACGAGGUACUACGGUGCUGAAGUAACAAAUGCCCUGCUUCCAGGAAAAGCCUCUAAGCAUCAGGUAACAUCAAAUCGUACCCCAAACCGACACAGGUGGUCAGGUAGAGAAUACCAAGGCGCUUGAGAGAACUCGGGUGAAGGAACUAGGCAAAAUGGUGCCGUAACUUCGGGAGAAGGCACGCUGGUGUGUAGGUGAAGUCCCUGCGGAUGGAGCUGAGACCAGUCGAAGAUACCAGCUGGCUGCAACUGUUUAUUAAAAACACAGCACUGUGCAAACACGAAAGUGGACGUAUACGGUGUGACGCCUGCCCGGUGCCGGAAGGUUAAUUGAUGGGGUUAUCCGUAAGGAGAAGCUCUUGAUCGAAGCCCCGGUAAACGGCGGCCGUAACUAUAACGGUCCUAAGGUAGCGAAAUUCCUUGUCGGGUAAGUUCCGACCUGCACGAAUGGCGUAAUGAUGGCCAGGCUGUCUCCACCCGAGACUCAGUGAAAUUGAACUCGCUGUGAAGAUGCAGUGUACCCGCGGCAAGACGGAAAGACCCCGUGAACCUUUACUAUAGCUUGACACUGAACAUUGAGCCUUGAUGUGUAGGAUAGGUGGGAGGCUUUGAAGCGUGGACGCCAGUCUGCGUGGAGCCAACCUUGAAAUACCACCCUUUAAUGUUUGAUGUUCUAACGUUGGCCCCUGACCGGGGUUGCGGACAGUGUCUGGUGGGUAGUUUGACUGGGGCGGUCUCCUCCCAAAGCGUAACGGAGGAGCACGAAGGUUAGCUAAUCCUGGUCGGACAUCAGGAGGUUAGUGCAAUGGCAUAAGCUAGCUUGACUGCGAGCGUGACGGCGCGAGCAGGUGCGAAAGCAGGUCAUAGUGAUCCGGUGGUUCUGAAUGGAAGGGCCAUCGCUCAACGGAUAAAAGGUACUCCGGGGAUAACAGGCUGAUACCGCCCAAGAGUUCAUAUCGACGGCGGUGUUUGGCACCUCGAUGUCGGCUCAUCACAUCCUGGGGCUGAAGUAGGUCCCAAGGGUAUGGCUGUUCGCCAUUUAAAGUGGUACGCGAGCUGGGUUUAGAACGUCGUGAGACAGUUCGGUCCCUAUCUGCCGUGGGCGCUGGAGAAUUGAGGGGGGCUGCUCCUAGUACGAGAGGACCGGAGUGGACGCAUCACUGGUGUUCGGGUUGUCAUGCCAAUGGCACUGCCCGGUAGCUAAAUGCGGAAGAGAUAAGUGCUGAAAGCAUCUAAGCACGAAACUUGCCCCGAGAUGAGUUCUCCCUGAGACUUUAAGUCUCCUGAAGGAACGUUGAAGACGACGACGUUGAUAGGCCGGGUGUGUAAGCGCAGCGAUGCGUUGAGCUAACCGGUACUAAUGAACCGUGAGGCUUAACCUUACAACGCCGAAG
rnacentral:rRNA from 1 species